rnacentral:rRNA from 1 species
UGAGGAAUAUUGGUCAAUGGGCGCGAGCUUGAACCAGCCAAGUCGCGUGAGGGAAGACGGUCCUAUGGAUUGUAAACCUCUUUAGCCGGGGAGCAAGCCGGGCACGCGUGCCCCGCGGAGAGUACCCGGAGAAUAAGCAUCGGCUAACUCCGUGCCAGCAGCCGCGGUAAUACGGAGGAUGCGAGCGUUAUCCGGAUUUAUUGGGUUUAAAGGGUGCGUAGGCGGGCUGUUAAGUCAGCGGUAAAAUGUCGGGGCUCAACCCCGGCCGGCCGUUGAAACUGGCGGUCUUGAGUGAGCGAGAAGUAUGCGGAAUGCGUGGUGUAGCGGUGAAAUGCAUAGAUAUCACGCAGAACUCCGAUUGCGAAGGCAGCAUACCGGCGCUCAACUGACGCUGAGGCACGAAAGCGUGGGGAUCAAACAGGAUUAGAUACC